UACGUAGGGACCAAGCGUUGUUCGGAUUUACUGGGCGUAAAGGGCGCGUAGGCGGCUUGACAAGUCACUUGUGAAAUCUCCGGGCUUAACUCGGAACGGCCAAGUGAAACUGUCAUGCUAGAGUGCAGAAGGGGCAAUCGGAAUUCUUGGUGUAGCGGUGAAAUGCGUAGAUAUCAAGAGGAACACCUGAGGUGAAGACGGGUUGCUGGGCUGACACUGACGCUGAUGCGCGAAAGCCAGGGAGCAAACGGG
rnacentral:rRNA from 1 species